rnacentral:rRNA from 1 species
GACGAACGCUGGCGGCGUGCCUAAUACAUGCAAGUCGAGCGAACAGAGAAGGAGCUUGCUCCUUCGACGUUAGCGGCGGACGGGUGAGUAACACGUGGGCAACCUACCUUAUAGUUUGGGAUAACUCCGGGAAACCGGGGCUAAUACCGAAUAAUCUGUUUCACCUCAUGGUGAAACACUGAAAGACGGUUUCGGCUGUCGCUAUAGGAUGGGCCCGCGGCGCAUUAGCUAGUUGGUGAGGUAACGGCUCACCAAGGCGACGAUGCGUAGCCGACCUGAGAGGGUGAUCGGCCACACUGGGACUGAGACACGGCCCAGACUCCUACGGGAGGCAGCAGUAGGGAAUCUUCCACAAUGGGCGAAAGCCUGAUGGAGCAACGCCGCGUGAGUGAAGAAGGAUUUCGGUUCGUAAAACUCUGUUGUAAGGGAAGAACAAGUACAGUAGUAACUGGCUGUACCUUGACGGUACCUUAUUAGAAAGCCACGGCUAACUACGUGCCAGCAGCCGCCGUAAAAC